UCAGCGUCUGAAAAACAUAAUAGUUACAACUUUCAACAACGGAUCUCUUGGUUCUGGCAUCGAUGAAGAACGCAGCGAAAUGCGAUAAGUAGUGUGAAUUGCAGAAUUCAGUGAAUCAUCGAAUCUUUGAACGCACAUUGCGCCCCUUGGUAUUCCA
rnacentral:rRNA from 1 species